UGUCUGAGUUUCUCAGAUCUUGCAGUACUGAAAUCUGAUUUUAACUAUGAAUUACUUUAGCUUCAUUUUGUCAUGUGAUAGCUGCAGUCAUGAUUCUGUGACAGAAAUGGAUGACGCUUUCUUUUUUCCUUUCUUCCUUCUCGAACCAUUGGCAAAAUGUUCUAAAAAAUCUGAAGCAGGAAUCAUGAAAAACAACCCUGAAGUAUCAAAAUAAUAAAGCACAAGUGGAAAAAGAAAAGUAAUCAGUGAGUUCACUGCCAUUUUGGACAUGAUGAUCACUAACUGUCUUGGUCUUUAUGACAGAUGCUAAAAUACUGCAAGGCAUACAGAAGCCAUUUAUUACACUUAAAAUUCAAUAAAAUUAAGAGAAUGAAAAUAGUUUUGUUUUUUUUACAGUGAAACUGUUCCUACAACAACAGUAUAACAGGUUGAAAUAGGUCACAGGCAGCCCUCCUUACAUUGCUCAAGAACAUUAGAAGGAUUAAUCAUUUAUGGAUUAUCUCCUAGAAACAAUGAUCUGGUGCAGACAGGAAGACGCUGUCUGCCUGCCAGCUUGAAACAUGUAAAUUGCUGGAAUUUGCAUCAAAAAUGUGACAGCUCCUCUCUGACAAAGUGAAAGAAGACAUUCCACUAUGGCUUGUUCCCCAAUAAGAACAGCUCAGUGGAGAGAUGGCACUGAUGGAAAGAGAUGCAAUUACUGUGACUCCUCCUUCAUUUUACAGAGCUGUGAUUUUCUUAUUAUCCACGGUUCCUCUUUCAAUGUGGGGUGCCAACACCAACAAAGUGAUAGGGCUACAUUUUGUCCAGUAGGUACCAAUUAGCACAGACAGAAAGCUAUCUUCGUACAGGUGUUAGCUCCUGUUUACUGAAAAUCCUCUGCUUGUGCUAACUUCUAGCCCUACUUACUGCAAAACAUGUACAGGUAAAUCUGGUGUGUUUUGUUGCAGUAGAAUUGUGUCUUCUAACAAAAUAAGUUUGGAAUACCUUUUGUGUUUUAUCCAUUGAUUAAUAAAUAAACAAUCUGAUUAAAAGAUAAACUUAUU
rnacentral:lncRNA from 1 species